UACGGAGGGUGCAAGCGUUAUCCGGAUUUACUGGGUUUAAAGGGUGCGUAGGCGGGUUUUUAAGUCAGUGGUGAAAGCCUCGAGCUCAACUCGAGAACUGCCAUUGAAACUGGAAACCUUGAGUAUAGUUGAGGUGGGCGGAAUGUAUCAUGUAGCGGUGAAAUGCUCAGAUAUGAUAUAGAACACCUAUUGCGAAGGCAGCUCACUAAACUAUCACUGACGCUGAGGCACGAAAGCGUGGGGAGCGAACAGG
rnacentral:rRNA from 1 species